CGGACGGGUGAGUAAUGUCUGGGAAACUGCCUGAUGGAGGGGGAUAACUACUGGAAACGGUAGCUAAUACCGCAUAACGUCGCAAGACAAAGAGGGGGACCUUGGGCCUCUUGCCAUCGGAUGUGCCCAGAUGGGAUUAGCUAGUAGGUGGGGUAAGGCUCACCUAGGCGACGAUCCCUAGCUGGUCUGAGAGGAUGACCAGCCACACUGGAACUGAGACACGGUCCAG
rnacentral:rRNA from 1 species